UACGUAGGGGGCAAGCGUUGUUCGGAUUUACUGGGCGUAAAGGGCGCGUAGGCGGCGUGACAAGUCACUUGUGAAAUCUCCGAGCUUAACUCGGAACGGUCAAGUGAUACUGUCGUGCUAGAGUGCAGAAAGGGCAACUGGAAUUCUUGGUGUAGCGGUGAAAUGCGUAGAUAUCAAGAGGAACACCAGAGGCGAAGGCGAGUUGCUAGGCUGACACUGACGCUGAGGCGCGAAAGCUAGGGGAGCGAACGGG
rnacentral:rRNA from 2 species